GACGAACGCUGGCGGCGUGCCUUACACAUGCAAGUCGAGCGGUAAGGCCCUUCGGGGUACACGAGCGGCGAACGGGUGAGUAACACGUGGGUGAUCUGCCUCGCACUUCGGGAUAAGCCUGGGAAACUGGGUCUAAUACCGGAUAUGACCAGUUGCUGCAUGGUUUCUGGUGGAAAGAUUUAUCGGUGCGAGAUGGGCCCGCGGCCUAUCAGCUUGUUGGUGGGGUAAUGGCCUACCAAGGCGACGACGGGUAGCCGGCCUGAGAGGGCGACCGGCCACACUGGGACUGAGACACGGCCCAGACUCCUACGGGAGGCAGCAGUGGGGAAUAUUGCACAAUGGGCGAAAGCCUGAUGCAGCGACGCCGCGUGAGGGAUGACGGCCUUCGGGUUGUAAACCUCUUUCGACAGGGACGAAGCGCAAGUGACGGUACCUGUAGAAGAAGCACCGGCCAACUACGUG
rnacentral:rRNA from 1 species